rnacentral:rRNA from 1 species
UACAGAGGUGGCAAGCGUUGUUCGGAAUUACUGGGCGUAAAGGGCGCGUAGGCGGCCUUCUAAGUCAGACGUGAAAUCCCCCGGCUUAACCUGGGAACUGCGUCUGAUACUGGGAGGCUCGAGUAUGGGAGAGGGACGCGGAAUUCCAGGUGUAGCGGUGAAAUGCGUAGAUAUCUGGAGGAACACCGGUGGCGAAGGCGGCGUCCUGGACCAACACUGACACUGAGGAGCGAAAGCCAGGGGAGCAAACGGG